rnacentral:rRNA from 1 species
UACGGGGGGGGCAAGCGUUGUUCGGAAUUACUGGGCGUAAAGGGCUCGUAGGCGGCCAACUAAGUCAGACGUGAAAUCCCUCGGCUUAACCGGGGAACUGCAUCUGAUACUGGAUGGCUUGAGUUCGGAAGAGGGAUGCGGAAUUCCAGGUGUAGCGGUGAAAUGCGUAGAUAUCUGAAGGAACAUCAGUGGCGAAAGCGACUUCCUGGACCAAUACUGACGCUCAUGUGCGAAAGCGUGGGGAGCAAACAGG